GGCAGGAUGGCCGAGUGGUCUAAGGCGCUGGUUUUAGGCCCCAGUCACUUUGGUGGCGUGGGUUCGAGUCCCACUCCUGUCA
rnacentral:tRNA from 1 species